rnacentral:rRNA from 1 species
GACGAACGCUGGCGGCGUGCUUAGCACAUGCAAGUCGAACGCCGAAGCACCAGCUUGCUGGUGGGGAUGAGUGGCGAACGGGUGAGUAAUACGUGAGUAACCUGCCCUUGACUCUGGAAUAAGCCCGGGAAACUGGGUCUAAUACUGGAUGCUACAUGUCACCGCAUGGUGGUGUGUGGAAAGGGUUUACUGGUAUUGGAUGGGCUCACGGCCUAUCAGCUUGUUGGUGAGGUAAUGGCUCACCAAGGCGACGACGGGUAGCCGGCCUGAGAGGGUGACCGGCCACACUGGGACUGAGACACGGCCCAGACUCCUACGGGAGGCAGCAGUGGGGAAUAUUGCACAAUGGGCGAAAGCCUGAUGCAGCGACGCCGCGUGAGGGAUGACGGCCUUCGGGUUGUAAACCUCUUUCAGCAGGGAAGAAGCCACAAGUGACGGUACCUGCAGAAGAAGCGCCGGCUAACUACGUGCCAGCCGCCGCAGUAA